UGAUUUCCCGGUGUAUACACUUGCAUA
rnacentral:sRNA from 1 species